UCACAAUACAAACAGCUACUGGAUGACAGUUACAGUUAGACAGAGUGAGCCCUCCGUUCAGAUCACUCAAGUCUCGCUUGGCUCCUGGCGGGAAGGAAGGAGAACACUUGGCCCACAGGAUGUUAACAGGCAUUGCUCACAAAAAGCCUUCUGGACGGAAAUGUUGUGAAAAUCCAGGUUUAACAAAGUUAAGCAAACUUUGUUUGGUGUUUGUCUUCUCAAGAUCUUUUUCCGUGGAUGCAAACUCACUCAGACUCUCUGAGAACAUGAGCAUGCCCACUUCUCCAGAUCUUCACAAAUACCUGCUUUAUUGAUGUAUAACUGAUUUACAAAGACCUACACAUAUUUAAUGUGAAUAAUUUGAUGAGUUUGGACAGAUGCAAACACCUGUGAUACUAUCACCACAUCAAGGUAACAGACAGAUCCAACACCUCACAGAGUUUUCUUGUGUCCCUUGGCUUUGUUUCUUUUUCAUUUGCUUUAAGUGGUAAGAGCAUUUAACAUGAGAUCUACUCUCUUAAC